GAUGAAGAACGCAGCGAAAUGCGAUAAGUAAUGUGAAUUGCAGAUUUCAGUGAAUCAUCGAAUCUUUGAACGCACCUUGCGCCCUUUGGCCAUUCCGAAGGGCAUGCCUGUUUGAGUAUCAUGAACACCUCAACUCUUUAUGGUUUUCCAUGAUGAGCUUGGACUCUGGGGGUUUUGCUGGCUCACAGUCGGCUCCUCUAAAAUGAAUCAGCUUACCAGUGUUUGGUGGGUAUCAUGGGUGUGAUAACUAUCUACGCUUGUGGUUUUUCCACCAGGUAACCUUCAGCAGUGGAGGUUCGCUGGAGCUCAUAGAUGUCUCUCCUCAGUGAGGACAGCCCUUUGAAUGUUUGAUCUCAAAUCAGGUAGGACUACCCGCUGAACUUAAGCAUAUCAAUAAGCGGAGGA
rnacentral:misc_RNA from 1 species